AUGUCCGUGUGCAGUGCUGGGGACGUGGCUGGGCCGCGUGCUGGCGCUCUGCCCCUCACAGGAGAGCGAUGCCCCCGGGAAACGCUCUGCCUUCCCCAGAAGAAUCCCUUCCCAGGCAGCCAGGCCUCUGGGGUCACUGGGGCCUGGGAUAAUGGGCUCAAAAACGAGAGCAUCGGGGCCCGGAGCCUGUGGCCUCGGCUGCCGUGCGUGCCACGGGGCCGCUGCCGUGGCGGUGCCGGGGUGAGCCCGGCUGUGUUGCAUGCGCUCGGUUCCUGUUUUUUUCCCACAGCCUGGAAAUCCCCUGACUUUCCGCCGGGGCAAGGAGCCCUGGGUCCAGCUGGCUCCCUGCCGGCCGCAGCUUCGGGAAGGGGCAUCUCAGGGUGGGGGGACAGAGCCACUGCCCUGUGCCAGGCCGUCAGCGCAGGCUGGAGCCGAGCAGGGAGCCUGGACGGGACCCGGCUGCCCCGUACCUGGCAGGAGCCACGCUGGGGGGCAGCAUCCUGCAAAGCCCCUCAGGUUUGGGGAGCUCCUUCACUGAGUUUCCACCUCUGGGGAGCCUCUUUCUGCGGCACCGGGAGCGGCAGGGAGCAGAGUGCAGCUGAUGCAACCCGGCCGGGAGCUGCAGCCGAAGCCAUGGGAGCUGCCUCCUGCCCGCGUUUCUUUGCUGUGGACAGUUUCCAAUCGAUCCUGCCCUCCUGCUGCUGGGAACCCGGCCCUCUCGGGAGGGGGAAGCACAGCACUUACCAGAAUUUGGGUGAUCGCUUUCCAGCACUUUGGACUCGGUGCCAAGAUCGAAGUAAAUCACACGCGGCCAGGCGCUAUCAUGAGAGAAGCCUGCAAGGGAGCAGGAGGAAAAAGAUGGUGCUGCCGGAGCCCUGGGGGGCGGCUGCGCCCCCUUCUCUGUCCUGCUGCCAGCUCCAGGCCCUGUGCUCUGGGAAGGCUCCCCAGCUCCGCAGGGUGCUGUGGGGAUGGAGCCGGGGAGAUGCCCCUGGCCCUGGGGAGCUGCAGAGCCUUUGGGGACCCCGGGCUGUGGAGUACGGGGCUGUUUCUGGGCCGCAGCACUGCUCCCCAGCAGGACCCCGAGCUGGGCUGCCAGCCAUGGAGCUGGGAGGGCGGCCACAAGGCUGCAGAUUUAUGCCUGAGGUGUUUAAAUACGCUGCUCUCUGCAACUUACAGGGUCCUUCCAAAAUGAUCUCCCUUCAGUGA
rnacentral:lncRNA from 1 species